rnacentral:rRNA from 1 species
AGAGUUUGAUCCUGGCUCAGGAUGAACGCUAGCGACAGGCUUAACACAUGCAAGUCGAGGGGCAGCGGUAAGGGGGCUUGCCUUCUUAGCCGGCGACCGGCGCACGGGUGAGUAACACGUAUGCAACCUGCCCAUCGCAGGGGGAUAAGCGGGAGAAAUUCCGUCUAAUACCGCGUAAUAUCCCGGGGAGACAUCUCUUGGGGAUUAAAGGAAGCGAUUCCGGCGAUGGAUGGGCAUGCGGCGCAUUAGUUAGUUGGCGGGGUAACGGCCCACCAAGGCGACGAUGCGUAGGGGUUCUGAGAGGAAGGUCCCCCACACUGGUACUGAGACACGGACCAGACUCCUACGGGAGGCAGCAGUGAGGAAUAUUGGUCAAUGGGCGGUAGCCUGAACCAGCCAAGUCGCGUGAGGGAAGACGGUCCUAUGGAUUGUAAACCUCUUUUGCCGGGGAGCAAGAGGCGCCACGAGUGGCGUCGUGAGAGUACCCGGAGAAAAAGCAUCGGCUAACUCCGUGCCAGCAGCCGCGGUAAUACGGAGGAUGCGAGCGUUAUCCGGAUUUAUUGGGUUUAAAGGGUGCGUAGGCCGUGAGUCAAGUCAGCGGUAAAAUUGAGAGGCUCAACCUCUUCGAGCCGUUGAAACUGAUUCACUUGAGUGAGCGAGAAGUAUGCGGAAUGCGUGGUGUAGCGGUGAAAUGCAUAGAUAUCACGCAGAACUCCGAUUGCGAAGGCAGCAUACCGGCGCUCAACUGACGCUGAAGCACGAAAGCGUGGGGAUCAAACAGGAUUAGAUACCCUGGUAGUCCACGCAGUAAACGAUGAUUACUAAUUGUCCGGGUCGAAUGAGACCUGGGUGAUACAGCGAAAGCGUUAAGUAAUCCACCUGGGGAGUACGCCGGCAACGGUGAAACUCAAAGGAAUUGACGGGGGCCCGCACAAGCGGAGGAACAUGUGGUUUAAUUCGAUGAUACGCGAGGAACCUUACCCGGGCUCAAACGCUUCCGGAAUGUCGCUGAAAGGCGACAGCCCUACGGGGCCGGGAGCGAGGUGCUGCAUGGUUGUCGUCAGCUCGUGCCGUGAGGUGUCGGCUUAAGUGCCAUAACGAGCGCAACCCCCAUCGACAGUUGCUAACAGAUAAUGCUGAGGACUCUGUCGAGACUGCCGGCGCAAGCUGAGAGGAAGGCGGGGAUGACGUCAAAUCAGCACGGCCCUUACGUCCGGGGCGACACACGUGUUACAAUGGCAGGCACAGCGGGAAGCCACGGGGCGACCCGGAGCGGAACCCGAAAGCCUGUCUCAGUUCGGAUUGGAGUCUGCAACCCGACUCCAUGAAGUUGGAUUCGCUAGUAAUCGCGCAUCAGCCAUGGCGCGGUGAAUACGUUCCCGGGCCUUGUACACACCGCCCGUCAAGCCAUGGAAGCCGGGAGUGCCUGAAGUGCGUGACCGCAAGGAGCGCCCUAAGGUAAAACCGGUGACUGGGGCUAAGUCGUAACAAGGUAACC